UCCUCUUCACAAUUAUCAUGGCUUUACGUGGACACCUUUGCUACCGAAAUACUAGACAUGGAAACGUCGAUCAAACGAUUCGUUGCAAGGGCGGAAUGGAAUGAUAUUAUUCACAAAUGCUGCAGGCAUUGACAUAGAAGAACAUAGAGCAACACUGAUGUGGACUGUUCGCGAUUGACAUGCUCUUCAAGUUGGUGACAAAAGUCUGUGGCUCAAUGAAUAUACUCGGUCGAGAUCUCCUGCUUAGUUUUGUAGUCAGUAAUAGGAUUAUGCAACAACUUGGUCGAUUGGGAUAAGACUACACUUGGUAAGACAACACAAUUAAAUACACGGAUUAAAAACUAUCAUAGGAUGAAGACAGAGAUUAGAAGGAACGUCAAGGUUUAUAACUCAGACUGACGCAAGUAUCCUCGGAAACCCAGUCGGAUAAUUUCACCCUUUUUUUAACCCCAAAGCGAAAGAAAAAUCAAAGUGUCGCAAGAAUAAAAUCAUUAGAGAUGAACGUUCUAUUAAUGGAAAGGAAAUCAAAAUAUUAGCAAAGAGAAAAAAGGAUAAUAAAAGCAAUAAAACAACAAGCCAAUAGAAUGGAUACUCGCAAACCCGUCAAUCAAUUAAGAAAAGUAGAUUGGAGCCUUCAAUGUCCUACAGUGCCUUGCAAUCUUAACACAAAUGGUUCAAAAGCAAACAAAUCAACGUGCUUUAAUGGACAUAGCAUUCAUAAUGAAUAGCUGACCGGCGCCUUAGAUGUUCACGCGGAAAUACGGGAAAUAGAUGCACCAAACCUAUAUUCAUCACAUAAUUAUCAAAAUAAUACAUAAAUAACACGCUAUUUCCAAUUUUUAAAAAUAAAUAUUUUAUUUCAGGCAAAUAAAAGUUUGUUUUGUAGGAUAAUUUGCUUUCAUGCCGUAAUCAUAUGAAAAACUCAGGCACAUCUGCGGAAUAUUACAUGGCUGCUUAUAGAAAGAUCUCUCGCGAGUGAGCGCACUGGUCGUUCAUGUAAUAUCCCGUAUUUCUUUCCGGUAUCAGUUACCUUCUGCACUGCUGUACUGUAAAAAUGAUUUAAGGUCGACGAAAAGGGCUAAUGAUUAAAAUAGUAAAA